rnacentral:misc_RNA from 1 species
GAUGAAGAACGUAGCGAACUGCGAUAAGUAAUGUGAAUUGCAGAAUUCAGUGAAUCAUCGAGUCUUUGAACGCACAUUGCGCCCCCUGGUAUUCCGGGGGGCAUGCCUGUCCGAGCGUCAUUGCUGCCCUCAAGCCCGGCUUGUGUGUUGGGCCUCCGUCCUCCUCCCGGGGGACGGGCCCGAAAGGCAGCGGCGGCACCGCGUCCGGUCCUCGAGCGUAUGGGGCUUCGUCACCCGCUCUUGUAGGCCCGGCCGGCGCUUGCCGACACAUCAAUCUUUUUUCCAGGUUGACCUCGGAUCAGGUAGGGAUACCCGCUGAACUUAAGCAUAUCAAUAAGCGGAGGA